ensembl:snRNA U2 U2 spliceosomal RNA
AUCGCUUCUCGGCCUUUUGGCUAAGAUCAAGUAUAAAAUUAGGUUAAUGUUCAUAAAUUUAUUUUUUAAACUUAUUGAUAAAAUGUAUAUUAAUAGUUGUUUGUGUCACAAAGGUUCCAGGAAAGAAUUAUUCCCUGCUGAUAUCCAGCUUUAAUUGAGACAGGGAAACCUAUC